GGCAUCUCUGCGAAAAAUCAUAGGGUGACAAU
rnacentral:scRNA from 1 species